AUAGCAACAGCAGCGUAGCUGAACAUCUUACGGAUGGCCCAGGGCUCCAAAGGCUCGUUUCCUAAGUGAGAGAGAGCCUGGCUGAAGCUGUAUUACCAUUCAUUCUCCAGCCUCCGAAGUCUCAAAGCAUCACUUCCACCAUACUCUAACUGUCAAGACAAACACAAAGGCCCAGAAACUGCCAGACUGUCUUCUGAAGUGGCUAUAAUAUUUACACUCCCAUCAGCAGUGUAGAAGGGGUCUCACUAUGUUGUCUGGAGUGCUGUGGUGGAGUGGAGUGGCUAUUCACAGGAUUCUUGGAAUGGACUGUAAAAGUCUGGAAUCAAGACUUUGUGUUUCCUCUCUAACAUGUAAAGAGCUUAGAAGUUGUCGCUAUUGCCCUUACAACAAAAUGAAGCUGGACAAACUGAAAAUCAAUGACUUUUCUUGGACUCACUAUACAGCUGAGUUUGCAGAGUAAACCACUACCCUGAAAUCUGGAAAGGCAGGUGCACCCACAGAUCCUCAGCUGAGAUCCAAUUACCUGAAAUAGAAGCUGCCAUUAGGAACACUUAAAAGAGCCUGUUCUGCUGGGACACAGAAUCACUUGCUCCAUCUCAUACAUUGAUGAUGAUUAAUUUGUAUGUGUACCUUCCAAAAAAGAUGGUUGUGUUUGAAUGGAGGCCUUCUGGACAGGAAAAUUGCAAAGUACAAUUAACAUUUGAGUCUGUCUGAGUCAUGAAGAAAUGGAGAUUACUGAAAAUAAUUCAUUUUGGUAUCUUCUUACAUCCUGAGAGACUAAUCUUUCCAAGUUCAUCUGAGGCUCCUCUUCUCCAUGACAACCUCAUCCAGGGAUUUCUUCCUGUCCUGGUGUUUUAUGACAUGUGGAAGGGGACUGUAGCAGGUGAUCUCCAAAGUCUCUGGAGACUUACUAAUGUGCAUCCUCAUCUCGCUUGUAAGGAUAAUAGCCUUCCUCCAAACCUCACACACUUUUGGAGGAGAUCACUUUUUUUAAAGUGCAUGGAAAUGUUUUGAAACAGUGAAAUCUAUAAUGAUAGGUUUCAUAAUUCUAACAUCCACACCAUAUGAAUCACAUCCUUCCUGAGAUAAUGAGCACACAAUUGCCUGGAUACCUGAAGGAAUGGAGACAGCGGCAGAAAACACUGCAGAGAGGUGGAAACAUCCGUUAAUAUUUUAAAAUCCCAUUACUGCUACCAACAAUAAUAAUGGAUGCAUAGAAAUAGAUCUGGAUUAGCUGAGCUUGAAACAGUCCAUCUCACACACACACAAAAGAAUUUCAGAUACAGUGAACCCACAUGUUGAAGCUUUCUAGUAUAAUAAAAAUUUCAACUGUUCUGUUGAAUCAUCUGCCUGAUUGGAGGCUACAGAAAAGAUGUCAUCUUAGGAGUGCUUGCUCUGAGUGAGGCUCAUCUUCAAAUCUGAAUGACCACAAGGAGAUUUGAUUAUACAUGUGAACACCUCAGAAGGCACAGCCCACCCAGAAGGCAGACAGGUCAGGCUGCUUUUUCUUCAUUGCUUGGAUUCAAUCCUCCGGGCGGCUCAGGCUCAAACAUAACUUAAGCAUGAUUAAACUUUAGAAGAAGCUGCCAGGAAGACUGUGAAAUCUUCAUGCCCAAGGAUCCCUAAAAUUAGGAGCAACAACCACUUGGCUCAGACGGUUUAUGGAGGCAAAGGUUUGGAUGGGAUUAGAGAUUUCUAAAUGUGAGUUCGUGUCCUCUGCCAGACCACCUUACUUCCACCAUUCCUCAGCAAAUCAAGAAAAACAGGAGAAAAGACAUGCCUUUCCAUAAGUUAAAUCUAUUCUGUUUUAAUUCUAUAUUAUAUCUGCUGUACAACUUCUUUUGUUUGUAACACCAUAUUGUUGCUAGUAACUGGAAAUUAAUUUUCACAUGCCUCAGCUUAGAAAAAUAAAAAGCAGCCCUGCAUCAAUCCC
rnacentral:lncRNA from 1 species